rnacentral:rRNA from 1 species
UAGGAAACACAAUACCUGAAUACAGCCGAUCUUGUUUGAUUUUGGAAGCUAAGCAGGAUGGGCCUGGUCAGUACUUGGAUGAGAGAAACUGUCAUGGCCAGAACCAAC